CGCACCUUGCGCUCCUUGGUAUUCCGAGGAGCAUGCCUGUUCGAGUGUCAUUAAAUCCAAUCAAGCCUGGCUUGGUAUUGGGUGUCGGGCCCCCCGCGCCUCAAUUUCACCGGCCGGCCGUCGCCCGUCUUAGCGUUGUGACACACUUCUCGCUAGCGAUGGGAGCGGACCACGCCGUUAGAACCCUCGGAAUCUCAAUCGAGAUUUGAUCAAGGUUGACCUCGGAUCGGGUAGGGAUACCCGCUGAACUUAA
rnacentral:misc_RNA from 1 species